UCUCUGAACAUCUGUCUUGUAAACAGCACAAAUAGGUUGACAUAAAAUGCUCUAAAAGGGCAGCCUUAAAAGACUCCAGUCCUCUCCAGCCAUAUUUUAGAGGCACCAGAUGCCUGAGAAGCACAGAACUCCGACUGAUUUCCAGUACAGUGAGAUGCUUGGGAGUUUUCAAAUCCCAUUCAGCAUCUUUUGCAUCUCCAGGAGCACAAACACCAAAAUAAUCUGUUCCAGCGCCCUUUAAGACGGAGACUCAAUAUGGCAUUUCUCCUUGGGGCUGAUCAGCACAGCACAAUUACAGGGAUUGAAGAAAAGGGCUGGAAGUAAAAAAUCUGACGGAACAAGCUUCUGACUCACAACUUUACUGCUCUUCCUUCUCAUUUUGUUUUUUACUUUCUCAACAUGUCACAAAGUACAACCUGGAGAACUUUUAGGCUACAGCUCAGACAACAAAAAAACCCAGAAUGCUCCAUGCACAGGACCCAGCCCUGUGGAAUCCCUCAGGAAAUGAAGCUCCACCUGGUCAUUCUGCACUCGAGGAGAUGACAAACAUGCCAAUAGCAGGGAUCUGAACGUUCCUGGGAUUUCUCAAGGUCAGCUGUGCAGGGGAUGUCCCUCUUUCAUACUGCAACCCCCUGAAGUGACCAUUCCCCCUUCUGGCUUUGGGCUCAGAGCUGCCCUUUGCAAGCAGCAGGCUCAUAAACCCAAGUGGUUGUAGAGAACAAAUAAAUACGGAUGCAUUGCUGGAAAUGCGCAACAAGGAAUGCCGCUGGACUGUUCUCCGAGGGCUGCGGUCAGCACAGGAGAGGUUUUCCACCCACUCCUUCCUUUUGGAGCCAUCCUGUUUCUACAAUUUCAAAUUUAAUACUUUUUCUAAUAUAUUAUACGUUACCUCCCAUGUAUUUAAACUGUACUUAAAAGCAUGCUAAGAACUGGUAAUUCUUUAAUGGUUGUUCACUUACAAGCGAUUGUGGGUCAUUACACAAUCAUUUAAAGGGCAUUAAUGAGAACCAUUUAAUGGUUUUAGUAGAAUAUCAUUGUAAGGGACAGGGGAAAAGUUACUGGCUGUAAAUUUUUAUGACCAUUUCUUACAAAACGUAUUACUUUAAAGAUUUAUGUACGUAACAAUGAGUACAAUAAAA